AAUAGAUACCCAGGUAGUCCACGCCGUAAACGAUGUGCACUAGAUCGUGGAGGUUUUGACACCAUCAUGGUCGCCGCGAAAGCAUUAAGUGCACCGCCUGGGGAGUACGGUCGCAAGGCUAAAACUCAAAGGAAUUGACGGGGGCUCACACAAGCGGUGGAGCAUGUGGCUUAAUUCGAAGCAACGCGAAGAACCUUAUCCAAGACUUGACAUGCACGGAUUAUUGAUCCGAAAGGUGAUAAACGCUCUCUGAGUGGAACGUGCACAGGUGCUGCAUGGCUGUCGUCAGCUCGUGCUGUGAAGUGUCGGGUUAAGUCCCUUAACGAGCGAAACCCCUAUCACUAGUUGCCAGCGAGUAAAGUCGGGGACUCUAGUGAGACUGCCGGUGUCAAACCGGAGGAAGGUGGGGAUGACGUCAAGUCCUCAUGGCCUUUAUGUCUUGGGCUGCACACGUGCUACAAUGCCGCGGACAAAGCGAAGCGAUACGGCAACGUGGAGCAAAUCGCACAAACCG
rnacentral:rRNA from 1 species